rnacentral:tmRNA from 1 species
GGGGUCGACUGGUUUUGACAGCGAGAUCAAUCGAACAGUAAGCAUGUCGAGCAAUGAGUCAAUGCUCGUAAAACUUAGAUUCAACCUUUAAUAGGCGAAGAUAACUACGCUCUAGCUGCAUAAGCGACUGAAUUACAGUAAGUCACUGCCAAGUCCUAACCAGGUUAGGAAGCCGGAUGUCUCUUGAAAGCCCUUGUUGACGGCGUUCAAACCAGAGGCACCAGAAAGGUCAACAUCGAAAUUUGAAGGUUCUGGUCAAAUUUUUCAAUAAAAGAACUAAGGAAUACAUGGGCAGUUUUCAGUCAGUGUGUUUUCGAAAAUUAAUUGAAAACUAAACAUGUAGAAAGCUCUUCAAUUACUUGUUUGGACGAGGGUUCGAUUCCCUCCGACUCCACUA